GUUGGUUCAGGCAAUCGCUCUUUGCUAUAGCAAGGGGAGGAAAGUCCGGGCUCCAAAGGGUAGAGUGCCAGGUAACGCCUGGGAGGCGUGAGCCUACGGAAAGUGCCACAGAAAAUAUACCGCCUCUGUUAAGGGGUAAGGGUGAAAUGGUGCGGUAAGAGCGCACCGCGCGACUGGCAACAGUCGUGGCAGGGAAAACCCCACUCGGAGCAAGACCAAAUAGGAAUCCAUGUGGCUGCAAAGCCAUGACGUGCGACCCGUACGGGAUUCGGGUAGGUUGCUUGAGGCAUACGGUGACGUAUGCCCCAGAUGAAUGAUUGUCCAUGACAGAACCCGGCUUAC
rnacentral:RNase_P_RNA from 1 species